CUCAUGGGCUAUUGAUGAGCACUCCAGAGCUCUUACCCAAGAACACCUGUCAUCCACAUGAGUCUGAAUCCUGGUCAUCCAGAAGGCUCUUGUUAACAGGCAGACAGAGAGUUUUGGUUCACAUUCUUUGGAAUCAGAAGUAGAAUUCGAGCAACACCUAUUCUUCUGACACUGUCCUGAACCAACACACUGAGAUCUGCAAGGGUCCUUUGAGUUCAGUUAUCUUCUCAGAGAUGCCAGGAAGCCUCAGCCAGUCCUCUUCAUCUGGAUCCUGAAACGGACCUCCCCGGGAAGGGGGGCCUCUCCAUCUGGUUUGCCGAAGUGGCCUCUUCAUAAGGUUGCAGACCCAGCUGUUCAUCAGGUUUUGUGAGGACACUCUAAGGUGCACUAGAGGGACGGCUUCAUCAGGUUAGUGCAAU